AUUGAACGCUGGCGGCAUGCCUUACACAUGCAAGUCGAACGGUAACAGGUUAAGCUGACGAGUGGCGAACGGGUGAGUAAUGUAUCGGAACGUGCCCCGUCGUGGGGGAUAACUGCUUGAAAGAGCAGCUAAUACCGCAUACGACCUGAGGGUGAAAGCGGGGGAUCGCAAGACCUCGCGCGAUUGGAGCGGCCGAUAUCAGAUUAGGUAGUUGGUGGGGUAAAGGCCUACCAAGCCGACGAUCUGUAGCUGGUUUGAGAGGACGACCAGCCCCCCUGGGACUGAGACCCGGCCCCGACUCCUACGGGAGGCAGCAGUGGGGAAUUUUGGACAAUGGGCGCAAGCCUGAUCCAGCCCUGCCGCGUGCGGGAAGAAGGCCUUCGGGUUGUAAACCGCUUUUGUCAGGGAAGAAGCGCUUUGGGUUAAUACCCUGGGGUAAUGACGGUACCUGAAGAAUAAGCACCGGCUAACUACGUG
rnacentral:rRNA from 1 species